CUUCCAGUAGCACCUUAGAGACCAACUAAGUUUGUUAUUGGUAUGAGCUUUCGUGUAUCUGAAGAAGUGUGCAUGCACAUGUAAGCUCAUACCAAUAACAAACUUAGUUGGUCUCUAAGGUGCUACUGGAAG